rnacentral:rRNA from 1 species
ACUAGAAGCCGAUGAAGGACGUUACUAACGACGAUAUGCUUUGGGGAGCUGUAAGUAAGCUUUGAUCCAGAGAUUUCCGAAUGGGGAAACCCAGCAUGAGUUAUGUCAUGUUAUCGAUAUGUGAAUACAUAGCAUAUCAGAAGGCACACCCGGAGAACUGAAACAUCUUAGUAACCGGAGGAAGAGAAAGAAAAUUCGAUUCCCUUAGUAGCGGCGAGCGAAACGGGAAGAGCCCAAACCAACAAGCUUGCUUGUUGGGGUUGUAGGACACUCUAUACGGAGUUACAAAGGACGACAUUAGACGAAUCAUCUGGAAAGAUGAAUCAAAGAAGGUAAUAAUCCUGUAGUCGAAAAUGUUGUCUCUCUUGAGUGGAUCCUGAGUACGACGGAGCACGUGAAAUUCCGUCGGAAUCUGGGAGGACCAUCUCCUAAGGCUAAAUACUCUCUAGUGACCGAUAGUGAACCAGUACCGUGAGGGAAAGGUGAAAAGCACCCCGGAAGGGGAGUGAAAUAGAACCUGAAACCGUGUGCUUACAAGUAGUCAGAGCCCGUUAAUGGGUGAUGGCGUGCCUUUUGUAGAAUGAACCGGCGAGUUACGAUUUGAUGCAAGGUUAAGCAGUAAAUGUGGAGCCGUAGCGAAAGCGAGUCUGAAUAGGGCGUUUAGUAUUUGGUCGUAGACCCGAAACCAGGUGAUCUACCCUUGGUCAGGUUGAAGUUCAGGUAACACUGAAUGGAGGACCGAACCGACUUACGUUGAAAAGUGAGCGGAUGAACUGAGGGUAGCGGAGAAAUUCCAAUCGAACCUGGAGAUAGCUGGUUCUCUCCGAAAUAGCUUUAGGGCUAGCCUCAAGUGAUGAUUAUUGGAGGUAGAGCACUGUUUGGACGAGGGGCCCCUCUCGGGUUACCGAAUUCAGACAAACUCCGAAUGCCAAUUAAUUUAACUUGGGAGUCAGAACAUGGGUGAUAAGGUCCGUGUUCGAAAGGGAAACAGCCCAGACCACCAGCUAAGGUCCCAAAAUAUAUGUUAAGUGGAAAAGGAUGUGGCGUUGCCCAGACAACUAGGAUGUUGGCUUAGAAGCAGCCAUCAUUUAAAGAGUGCGUAAUAGCUCACUAGUCGAGUGACACUGCGCCGAAAAUGUACCGGGGCUAAACAUAUUACCGAAGCUGUGGAUUGUCCUUUGGACAAUGGUAGGAGAGCGUUCUAAGGGCGUUGAAGCAUGAUCGUAAGGACAUGUGGAGCGCUUAGAAGUGAGAAUGCCGGUGUGAGUAGCGAAAGACGGGUGAGAAUCCCGUCCACCGAUUGACUAAGGUUUCCAGAGGAAGGCUCGUCCGCUCUGGGUUAGUCGGGUCCUAAGCUGAGGCCGACAGGCGUAGGCGAUGGAUAACAGGUUGAUAUUCCUGUACCACCUAUAAUCGUUUUAAUCGAUGGGGGGACGCAGUAGGAUAGGCGAAGCGUGCGAUUGGAUUGCACGUCUAAGCAGUAAGGCUGAGUAUUAGGCAAAUCCGGUACUCGUUAAGGCUGAGCUGUGAUGGGGAGAAGACAUUGUGUCUUCGAGUCGUUGAUUUCACACUGCCGAGAAAAGCCUCUAGAUAGAAAAUAGGUGCCCGUACCGCAAACCGACACAGGUAGUCAAGAUGAGAAUUCUAAGGUGAGCGAGCGAACUCUCGUUAAGGAACUCGGCAAAAUGACCCCGUAACUUCGGGAGAAGGGGUGCUCUUUAGGGUUAACGCCCAGAAGAGCCGCAGUGAAUAGGCCCAAGCGACUGUUUAUCAAAAACACAGGUCUCUGCUAAACCGUAAGGUGAUGUAUAGGGGCUGACGCCUGCCCGGUGCUGGAAGGUUAAGAGGAGUGGUUAGCUUCUGCGAAGCUACGAAUCGAAGCCCCAGUAAACGGCGGCCGUAACUAUAACGGUCCUAAGGUAGCGAAAUUCCUUGUCGGGUAAGUUCCGACCCGCACGAAAGGCGUAACGAUUUGGGCACUGUCUCAACGAGAGACUCGGUGAAAUCAUAGUACCUGUGAAGAUGCAGGUUACCCGCGACAGGACGGAAAGACCCCGUGGAGCUUUACUGUAGCCUGAUAUUGAAAUUCGGCACAGCUUGUACAGGAUAGGUAGGAGCCUUUGAAACGUGAGCGCUAGCUUACGUGGAGGCGCUGGUGGGAUACUACCCUAGCUGUGUUGGCUUUCUAACCCGCACCACUUAUCGUGGUGGGAGACAGUGUCAGGCGGGCAGUUUGACUGGGGCGGUCGCCUCCUAAAAGGUAACGGAGGCGCUCAAAGGUUCCCUCAGAAUGGUUGGAAAUCAUUCAUAGAGUGUAAAGGCAUAAGGGAGCUUGACUGCGAGACCUACAAGUCGAGCAGGGUCGAAAGACGGACUUAGUGAUCCGGUGGUUCCGCAUGGAAGGGCCAUCGCUCAACGGAUAAAAGCUACCCCGGGGAUAACAGGCUUAUCUCCCCCAAGAGUUCACAUCGACGGGGAGGUUUGGCACCUCGAUGUCGGCUCAUCGCAUCCUGGGGCUGUAGUCGGUCCCAAGGGUUGGGCUGUUCGCCCAUUAAAGCGGUACGCGAGCUGGGUUCAGAACGUCGUGAGACAGUUCGGUCCCUAUCCGUCGUGGGCGUAGGAAAUUUGAGAGGAGCUGUCCUUAGUACGAGAGGACCGGGAUGGACAUACCUCUGGUGUACCAGUUGUCGUGCCAACGGCAUAGCUGGGUAGCUAUGUGUGGACGGGAUAAGUGCUGAAAGCAUCUAAGCAUGAAGCCCCCCUCAAGAUGAGAUUUCCCAACUUCGGUUAUAAGAUCCCUCAAAGAUGAUGAGGUUAAUAGGUUCGAGGUGGAAGCAUGGUGACAUGUGGAGCUGACGAAUACUAA